UGGCGAACGGGUGAGUAACGCGUGAGGAACCUGCCUCAAAGAGGGGGACAACAGUUGGAAACGACUGCUAAUACCGCAUAAGCCCACGACCCGGCAUCGGGUAGAGGGAAAAGGAGCAAUCCGCUUUGAGAUGGCCUCGCGUCCGAUUAGCUAGUUGGUGAGGUAAUGGCCCACCAAGGCGACGAUCGGUAGCCGGACUGAGAGGUUGAACGGCCACAUUGGGACUGAGACACGGUCCAA
rnacentral:rRNA from 1 species